rnacentral:rRNA from 1 species
CCUACGGGAGGCAGCAGUAGGGAAUUUUCGGCAAUGGGGGGAACCCUGACCGAGCAACGCCGCGUGAACGAAGACGUCAUUCGUAAUGUACAGUUCUUUUAACAGGGAAGAAAGAGAAAUUUGAUGGUAUCUGAUGAAUAAGCUCCGGCUAACUACGUGCCCGCAGCCGCGGUAAUACGUAGGGAGCGAGCGUUAUCGGGAAUUAUUGGUCGUAAAGGGUGCGUAGAGGGCAUAGUAAGUCUUUUGUAAAAAUGCUGGGCUCAACCGAGUAGGGCAAAAGAUACUGCAAAGCUAGUGUAUGGCAGAGGCAAGUGGAACUACAGGUGUAGCGGUGAAAUGCUUAAAUAUAAGUAAGAACACCAGUUGCGAAGGCGGCAUGC